GCAGAGCUAAUAUCUCCCGAUCUUCCUCCAGCACCAGCAGCUUCAGCAGCACAGCAGGGGAGGGAGACGGACUGGAGGAGCUGGAAAUGAGCAGUCACCCGUCCACGGCUUCAUCUGUGUACAGUCCAUCUCUCAGCGUGGAAAGCCAGAACUCUGGAACGCCGCUGAUCAUGUGCCGCAGUCCCACAGAUGGAAAGAGCAAAACUUCACCGAGGUCAAACUUGAAAUUCCGCUUUGACAAACUGAGCCACUCCACAGGUCAUUAGGUCAGACAGAAGCCACUGCAUGGACAUAAGGCAGUGACUUUGAAUGGAUUUUUAUAGAUUGGAAGAAAAAGGGACCAUUUCCUCUUGCCAUUGCGACAGUUAUCACUGUUCAACAUAAUACACAACUGAACACUAUUGUUAGAACUGAUCCUACAGACACACGAAAAGGGUUUAGAGGACAGAAAUUAACACCAGUCUUAGUAGAAAAAGCAACAAACGUCUCUGUUUUUCCAACAUUGUAAAUGUAGUGCUCAAACAAGUGUUGAAACUAUUCUUGCCUAACUGCAAUUGCUUUCUAGACAGAUGCUCAAUAUUAUCACAGCUACAUGAAAUACUUGAAGAGUUCUCAGUCAUUAAAUGUUACAAGAGAUAAGGACUACAAAGUAUCAUUAUAAGCACCUGUACUGUACUCAGUCUUUUGCAGAGAUUACGGGUCAUUUUGAGUCUUGUAACACUGCCCAUCAGUGUAAGCCUUAAAAUACUGUACACUAACUAUGCUCUGCUGAGGAUUGAGUCUGUUCUUUUAUUUUUGAGUGAUGUGAAAAGGUCAAAUUCACCUUUCCCGAGGGUAACCAAAGAUGAAGAUUGCCAAGGUUUAUUUGUGGUAAAAGGGGAAGGGUUUUGACAAAAAACAUAACCUUGCAUGGAUGGCGAAGACACAUUUUAUUAUAUUUUUAAAGCAAAAUUGGUUUGUUUAUUUCAGCGUAUAUUUAGUUCUCUAAAUAAGACUUCAGUAUAUUUGUUCAACACUGGGUUGGCAGAUACUGCUAACUUUAUUGAACAGAUAUAUUUGCACAAUUGAACCAAAAAAAAGAAAGAAAUUAUUUACUUCAUUAAAUUUCAUUUUUAACUCUCAAACACACUUGAGAAAGCACAGACACAUAAACAUGGUUCUUCUUAACUUCAGACUUGUGGAUGUACAAAAAGGUCCUUUUUUGUAAAUGCUUCGUUAUUCAACUUUGGCUGGCAGAAUAAUUUUUGAACAAUUUUUGAAGGAUUUUCUUUUGAAAUGUUGUUAUUUAUUUACAUAUGUGUGUCUCUGCUCAUUCCUUAUGAUUCUGUUAGUUUUUCAGCGGUACUCAAUGGUGAGGGCAUUAGACUGCAGAGAGCGAGUUAAAUAUUCUUGUACAAUAGUUACAAACUCUGACAUAAAAUGUGUUGGCAUAUAUGUUUGUACUGCCAUAAUUUAUUGCUUUAAAAAUUGUUGAUGUUACGUAAAAAAAAAUUUACACAGAGUCAAAUUAAAAUAAUUU